AAUAAUAUAAUUUAAUUUAUUUAGUUUUAAUUAAUAAUAAAUUGUUUAAUUCAAAUUUUUAAAUUAUUAAGUGAAAUUUUAAUUUAUAAAAAAAUUAAUUUUUGUUUAUGAAGUUAAGAAAUUUAAAUAAUAAACUAGGAUUAGAUACCCUAUUAUUUUAAAUGUGAUUAAAAAUUCUUGAUUAUUAAUAGUUAUGUUCUUUAAAAUUAAAAAUUUUGGCGGUUUUUUAGUCUAUUCAGAGGAAUCUGUCCUGUAAUUGAUAUUCCACGAUUAAAAUUACUUUUUUUAAUAAUUUACAUAUCGUCGUAGUUUGAAUAUUUUAAAAGAAUUUUAAUAUUCAAAAUUUUAUUUAGAAAAGAAAUCAGAUCAAGGUGUAGUUUAUAAAAAAGAAGAGAUGGAUUACAUUAAAUUUAUUUAAGGAUUAAUUUAUUAAAAAUUUUAUGAAUUUGGAUUUGGAAGUAAUUUUAAUAAUUUUAUUAAAAUGAUUUAAGCUCUAAAAUAUGUACAUAUUGCCCGUCGCUUUCACUUUAAAGUGAAAUAAGUCGUAACAAAGUAGAUUUACUGGAAAGUGAAUCUAGAAAGAUCAAAUUAGAGCUUGAUAAAAGUAUUUUAUUUACAUUAAAAAGUUAAUUGUGAAAUUCAAUUUAAUUUGAAUUUAAAAGAUUAUUUUAAUAUAAAUAAUUUUUUUAAUUUAAAAUAAGUAAAUUAUAUUUUAGUAUAAGUUUAGAAAAAAAUUUUUUUAUUAUAGUUAACUAGUAUUGUGAAAGAAUUCAAAUUUAUAAAUUAAAGAAAAAUUAAUUUUUU
rnacentral:rRNA from 1 species